rnacentral:rRNA from 1 species
AUGAACGCUAGCGACAGGCUUAACACAUGCAAGUCGAGGGGCAGCGGGGGAUAAGCUUGCUUUUCCUGCCGGCGACCGGCGCACGGGUGAGUAACACGUAUGCAACCUGCCUCUGUCAGAGGGAUAAUCCGGAGAAAUCCGGUCUAAUAUCGCAUAAAGCGUUUGCGGGGCAUCCUGCGAGCGCCAAAGGAGUAAUCCGGACAGGGAUGGGCAUGCGGCGCAUUAGCUAGUUGGGGGGGUAACGGCCCACCAAGGCGACGAUGCGUAGGGGUUCUGAGAGGAAGGUCCCCCACAUUGGUACUGAGACACGGACCAAACUCCUACGGGAGGCAGCAGUGAGGAAUAUUGGUCAAUGGGCGGAAGCCUGAACCAGCCAAGUCGCGUGAGGGAAGACGGCCCUAAGGGUUGUAAACCUCUUUUGCCGGGGAGCAAAAGCGCCGUGCGCGGUGCUAUGAGAGUACCCGGAGAAAAAGCAUCGGCUAACUCCGUGCCAGCAGCCGCGGUAAUACGGAGGAUGCGAGCGUUAUCCGGAUUUAUUGGGUUUAAAGGGUGCGUAGGCGGACAGUUAAGUCAGCGGUCAAAACGGGCGGCUCAACCGCCUGCCGCCGUUGAAACUGGCAGUCUAGAGUGGGCGAGAAGUACGCGGAAUGCGCGGUGUAGCGGUGAAAUGCAUAGAUAUUGCGCAGAACUCCGAUUGCGAAGGCAGCGUACCGGCGCCCGACUGACGCUGAGGCACGAAAGCGUGGGGAUCGAACAGGAUUAGAUACCCUGGUAGUCCACGCAGUAAACGAUGGACACUAUCUGUUCGGGUCGAGAGAGAUCUGAGUGGCACAGCGAAAGCGUUAAGUGUCCCACCUGGGGAGUACGCCGGCAACGGUGAAACUCAAAGGAAUUGACGGGGGCCCGCACAAGCAGUGGAGUAUGUGGUUUAAUUCGACGCAACGCGAAGAACCUUACCAAGUCUUGACAUCCUGCGACGAUGCUAGAAAUAGUAUUUUCCUUCGGGACGCAGAGACAGGUGGUGCAUGGUUGUCGUCAGCUCGUGUCGUGAGAUGUUGGGUUAAGUCCCGCAACGAGCGCAACCCUUAUCUUUAGUAGCCAGCGGUUAAGCCGGGCACUCUAGAGAGACUGCCAGGGAUAACCUGGAGGAAGGCGGGGAUGACGUCAAAUCAGCACGGCCCUUACGUCCGGGGCUACACACGUGUUACAAUGGGGGGUACAGAGGGCCGCUACCACGCGAGUGGAUGCCAAUCCCCAAAACCUCUCUCAGUUCGGACUGGAGUCUGCAACCCGACUCCACGAAGCUGGAUUCGCUAGUAAUCGCGCAUCAGCCACGGCGCGGUGAAUACGUUCCCGGGCCUUGUACACACCGCCCGUCAAGCCAUGGAAGCCGGGAGUGCCUGAAGUGCGUGACCGCAAGGAGCGCCCUAGGGUAAAACCGGUGACUGGGGCU